GACGAACGCUGGCGGCGUGCCUAAUACAUGCAAGUUGAGCGAUGAAGAUUGGUGCUUGCACCAAUUUGAAGAGCAGCGAACGGGUGAGUAACGCGUGGGGAAUCUGCCUUUGAGCGGGGGACAACAUUUGGAAACGAAUGCUAAUACCGCAUAAUAACUUUAAACAUAAGUUUUAAGUUUGAAAGAUGCAAUUGCAUCACUCAAAGAUGAUCCCGCGUUGUAUUAGCUAGUUGGUGAGGUAAAGGCUCACCAAGGCGAUGAUACAUAGCCGACCUGAGAGGGGGAUCGGCCACAUUGGGACUGAGACACGGCCCAAACUCCUACGGGAGGCAGCAGUAGGGAAUCUUCGGCAAUGGACGAAAGUCUGACCGAGAAACGCCGCGUGAGGGAAGAAGGGUUUCGGAUCGUAAAACUCUGUUGGUAGAGAAGAACGUUGGUGAGAGUGGAAAGCUCAUCAAGUGACGGUAACUACCCAGAAAGGGACGGCUAACUACGUG
rnacentral:rRNA from 1 species